rnacentral:rRNA from 1 species
CAGCAGCCGCGGUAAUACGUAGGGUGCGAGCGUUGUCCGGAAUUACUGGGCGUAAAGAGCUCGUAGGUGGUUUGUCGCGUUGUUCGUGGAAGUCCACAGCUUAACUGUGGGGGUGCGGGCGAUACGGGCAGACUGGAGUACUGCAGGGGAGACUGGAAUUCCUGGUGUAGCGGUGGAAUGCGCAGAUAUCAGGAGGAACACCGGUGGCGAAGGCGGGUCUCUGGGCAGUAACUGACGCUGAGGAGCGAAAGCGUGGGGAGCGAACAGGAUUAGAUACCCUGGUAGUCCACGCCGUAAACGGUGGGUACUAGGUGUGGGUUUCCUUCCUUGGGAUCCGUGCCGUAGCUAACGCAUUAAGUACCCCGCCUGGGGAGUACGGCCGCAAGGCUAAAACUCAAAGGAAUUGAC